UAGGGAAUCUUCCGCAAUGGACGCAAGUCUGACGGAGCAACGCCGCGUGAGUGAAGAAGGAUUUCGGUUCGUAAAACUCUGUUGUUAGGGAAGAAAAAAUGUAUAGUAACUAUAUACAAAAGAGACGGUACCUAACCAGAAAGCCACGGCUAACUACGUGCCAGCAGCCGCGGUAAUACGUAGGUGGCAAGCGUUGUCCGGAAUUAUUGGGCGUAAAGCGCGCGCAGGUGGUUUAGAAAGUCUGAUGUGAAAGCCCACGGCUCAACCGUGGAGGGUCAUUGGAAACUAAUAAACUUGAGUGCAGGAGAGAAAAGUGGAAUUCCUAGUGUAGCGGUGAAAUGCGUAGAGAUUAGGAGGAACACCGGUGGCGAAAGCGGCUUUUUGGCCUGCAACUGACACUGAGGCGCGAAAGCGUGGGGAGCAAACAGG
rnacentral:rRNA from 2 species